rnacentral:rRNA from 1 species
GAGUUUGAUCCUGGCUCAGGAUGAACGCUGGCGGCGUGCCUAAUACAUGCAAGUCGAACGAAUCUCUUUUAGAGAUGAGUGGCGAACGGGUGAGUAAUACAUAGGUAACCUGCCCCUGUGCGGGGGAUAACAGGAGGAAACUCCUGCUAAUACCGCAUAGCCAUGAGCACCGCAUGGAGCUCAUGCCAAAUAUCCUUUCGGGGAUAGCGCAGGGAUGGACCUAUGGCGCAUUAGCUGGUUGGCGGGGCAACGGCCCACCAAGGCAACGAUGCGUAGCCGGCCUGAGAGGGCGGACGGCCACAUUGGGACUGAGACACGGCCCAGACUCCUACGGGAGGCAGCAGUAGGGAAUUUUCGGCAAUGGGGGAAACCCUGACCGAGCAACGCCGCGUGAGCGAAGAAGGCCUUCGGGUCGUAAAGCUCUGUUGUAAAGGAAGAACGGCGCAUACAGGAAAUGGUAUGCGAGUGACGGUACUUUACCAGAAAGCCACGGCUAACUACGUGCCAGCAGCCGCGGUAAUACGUAGGUGGCGAGCGUUAUCCGGAAUCAUUGGGCGUAAAGAGGGAGCAGGCGGCCGCAAGGGUCUGUGGUGAAAGACCGAAGCUAAACUUCGGUAAGCCAUGGAAACCGGGCGGCUAGAGUGCGGAAGAGGAUCGUGGAAUUCCAUGUGUAGCGGUGAAAUGCGUAGAUAUAUGGAGGAACACCAGUGGCGAAGGCGACGGUCUGGGCCGCAACUGACGCUCAUUCCCGAAAGCGUGGGGAGCAAAUAGGAUUAGAUACCCUAGUAGUCCACGCCGUAAACGAUGGUCACUAAGUGUCGGGGGUCAAACCCCGGUGCUGCAGUCAACGCAAUAAGUGACCCGCCUGAGUAGUACGUUCGCAAGAAUGAAACUCAAAGGAAUUGACGG